GCUUGUUCUGCAAGUUAUUUCCAUUAUUUGAUGGUGGAGAAGCUCUGGCCUUGAGCUUGGAGAGAAAAUCCAACGUGAAAUGGACUUUGUGGACGACGAUAUCAUCCACAAAGCUAUCAGCAUAAUUAUUAGGAUAAUCUUUGAGAAGCUUCUUGCUUUUAAACUCAGCUCCUCUGUGUUCAAACUCAAAAUUAGGAGGUUUUCGAGGGUUGAAAAUGGUUCGAUCAUGAAGAGGAAGUGGGCUCAUGUCAAGACACCUACUAGCUUUCCCCCAUGCAACCAAGAAAUUGCUGGUGGAAUGCCCAUCAGCAACCGAGUGAUGGGAUGUGAAGCCAACCACUAAUGAACCGCAAGUGAACCUUGUAAGCUGAACUUGCACAAGCUCCUCCACAUCCUUCAAGCUAGGGUGAAGUCUAAGCAAAACAGGAGAUGGCUUCAAGGGCAUGAGUUGAUCAAGCUUGCAAUCCAC
rnacentral:misc_RNA from 1 species